CGCGGGAUUAAGGUAGGGUCGGUGACUGGGGCUAAGUCGUAACAAGGUAGCCGUACGGGAACGUGCGGCUGGAUCACCUCCUUUCAAAG
rnacentral:rRNA from 1 species